GACCGAAUGGAGCACGGCGCCGCUGGCGUCCGGCUCUUGCUCCGACGUGGCGGGAAAGUUGCGAUUGCCGGGGUUCCAACCCUCUUCGCGCC
rnacentral:tRNA from 1 species